AGAUUGAACGCUGGCGGCAUGCCUAACACAUGCAAGUCGAACGGGAGUAGCAAUACUCUAGUGGCGGACGGGUGAGGAAUACGUAGGAAUUUGCCCUUAAGUGGGGGAUAACCCGGGGAAACCCGGAUUAAUACCGCAUGACCUCGAAAGAGCAAAGUGGGGGAUCGCAAGACCUCACGCUUUUGGAGAAGCCUACGUCGGAUUAGCUAGUUGGUGAGGUAAUGGCUCACCAAGGCGACGAUCCGUAACUGGUCUGAGAGGAUGAUCAGUCACACCGGAACUGAGACACGGUCCGGACUCCUACGGGG
rnacentral:rRNA from 1 species